rnacentral:rRNA from 1 species
GGGCCCGCACAAGCGGUGGAGUAUGUGGUUUAAUUCGAUGCAACGCGAAGAACCUUACCAGGGUUUGACAUCCUGCGAAUCUCUUGGAAACGAGAGAGUGCCUUCGGGAACGCAGUGACAGGUGGUGCAUGGCUGUCGUCAGCUCGUGUCGUGAGAUGUUGGGUUAAGUCCCGCAACGAGCGCAACCCACGUCGUUAGUUGCCAGCAUUUAGUUGGGGCACUCUAGCGAGACCGCCGGUGAUAAACCGGAGGAAGGCGGGGAUGACGUCAAGUCCUCAUGGCCCUUAUGGGCUGGGGCUACACACGUGCUACAAUGGCAGUGACAGAGGGACGCUACUUCGCGAGAAGAUGCA